GACGCGAUGUGGGGUGCGGGGCCUGAGUGUUAAAACCAAAACCAGCAAACACUGACUGGGAGAAGAAGUCAGCGGAUUCUCCGCAAGGAUGUAGAAGGGACUGCUGUUCCCACAUAUCCCUGCAGCUGUGGGUUUCCACGAAGAAGUGAUUGCUGGCUGGAGGAAGCACUCAGGUUUUUUUCACUUAUGUUUACCAGUACUGCAAAAACAAAACAAAAAACAACACAAAGAAAUAAUGUCUGGAUGAAGUCAAGUCAUAUGUUCUGUGGUCCUGGUAGCCCACAAGGAGUGAGGAAUCUGCCAGGUAUUUUCAGGAAGACCAAUGUGAACUUAAGGGAUUCAAAAGAAACAAGGUGGAGGGAACAGAGAAAAGGAUGGGACCAUUCCUCCAGAGAAGCAAUAGAAUUGGUCAGCAGCCCAGGAGAAGAUGCUGCCCCUUCCAGUCAUCAGAAAGACAACACACUUGUUGGGAGGGGACAUUUGGGACCUGAACUCACCAGUGACGUAGCCUCACGUGACCAGGAGCCUAUGUACUGAAGUCUUGGUCCAGACAGCGGUUCUGCUCAGAAUUUGGGCUUGAUGGCAGAGGGACUGGUGAUUGGGGCUGGCACCUGAUACUACAUCUACCAACUGAACUGUGAUGGAGAGCAGAACAAGAAGCAACCAACUGAUUCAAAAGACAUUAAUCCUGCCUACAAAAAGUUUAGAAAGUACAGAAAACUAGAAGGAAGAAAAUAAAAUAAGCCAUCAAUAAUUACCA
rnacentral:lncRNA from 1 species